CUACGGGGCGCACCAGUGGGGAAUAUUGGACAAUGGGCGCAAGCCUGAUCCAGCCAUGCCGCGUGAGUGAUGAAGGCCCUAGGGUUGUAAAGCUCUUUCGCCAGGGACGAUAAUGACGGUACAUGGAUAAGAAGCCCCGGCUAACUUCGUGCCAGCAGCCGCGGUAAUACGAAGGGGGCUAGCGUUGUUCGGAAUCACUGGGCGUAAAGCGCACGUAGGCGGAUCUUUAAGUCAGGGGUGAAAUCCCGAGGCUCAACCUCGGAACUGCCUUUGAUACUGGGGGUCUCGAGUCCGGGAGAGGUGAGUGGAGCUGCGAGUGUAGAGGUGAAAUUCGUAGAUAUUCGCAAGAACACCAGUGGCGAGGCGGCUCACUGGCCCGGUACUGACGCUGAGGUGCGAAAGCGUGGGGAGCAAACAGGAUUAGAUACCCCAGUAGUC
rnacentral:rRNA from 1 species